rnacentral:rRNA from 1 species
UGGGGAAUAUUGCACAAUGGGCGCAAGCCUGAUGCAGCCAUGCCGCGUGUGUGAAGAAGGCCUUCGGGUUGUAAAGCACUUUCAGCGAGGAGGAAGGUGGUGAACUUAAUACGUUCAUCAAUUGACGUUACUCGCAGAAGAAGCACCGGCUAACUCCGUGCCAGCAGCCGCGGUAAUACGGAGGGUGCAAGCGUUAAUCGGAAUUACUGGGCGUAAAGCGCACGCAGGCGGUUUGUUAAGUCAGAUGUGAAAUCCCCCGGGGCUCAACCUGGGAACUGCAUUUGAAACUGGCAAGCUAGAGUCUCGUAGAGGGGGGUAGAAUUCCAGGUGUAGCGGUGAAAUGCGUAGAGAUCUGGAGGAAUACCGGUGGCGAAGGCGGCCCCCCUGGACGAAGACUGACGCUCAGGUGCGAAAGCGUGGGGCAGCAAACAGGAUUAGAUACCCUGGUAGUCCAGCGCUGUAAACGAUGUCGAUUUGGAGGUUGUGCCCUUGAGGCGUGGCUUCCGGAGCUAACGCGUUAAA